rnacentral:rRNA from 1 species
UACGAAGGGGGUUAGCGUUGUUCGGAAUUACUGGGCGUAAAGCGCGCGCAGGCGGUCCUUCAAGUCAGAGGUGAAAGCCCAGAGCUCAACUCUGGAAUGGCCUUUGAGACUAGAGGACUUGGGUACGGGAGAGGUGAGUGGAAUUCCGAGUGUAGAGGUGAAAUUCGUAGAUAUUCGGAAGAACACCAGUGGCGAAGGCGGCUCACUGGCCCGUUACCGACGCUCAGGCGCGACAGCGUGGGGGAGCAAAC